rnacentral:rRNA from 1 species
UACGAAGGGGGCUAGCGUUGCUCGGAAUUACUGGGCGUAAAGGGAGCGUAGGCGGACAUUUAAGUCAGGGGUGAAAUCCCAGAGCUCAACUCUGGAACUGCCUUUGAUACUGGGUGUCUUGAGUGUGAGAGAGGUAUGUGGAACUCCGGGUGUAGUGGUGAAAUGCGUAGAGAUCCGGAGGAACACCAGUGGCGAAGGCGACACGCUGGGCCAUACCUGACGCUAAAGCGCGACAGCAUGGGGAGCAAACGGG